AUUCGAAGGAAAAACUUAUUACACAUUUGAGUUUGUCGCUCAGGCUUCAAACUUUACCUGGCAUGCUCUUGGUGCAAUCUCAAUUGGAAAUUGUAAGUUUUACACUAUAACAACAGGAGCCAAUGAAAGGAGAUGGGGAAAGAUUAAAGAUAAAUUGAACAUUGUUAUUGAUUCCUUCAAAAUUCUCAAUGUUUGAGGUUGUCACCUGUUUCUCUAGAUCAGAUUAGGAGUAACCCACUUCCCGAUAGCAAGAGUGUUUUGCUCCAUGACAGGUGUUAUGUCUGGGUAUUAUUGUUGCAUGAUCUGUAUUGAUAUUACAUCUCUUAACCCUU